ensembl:lncRNA
CUUGUGAGGUACCACAGACAAUGAGUGUAGUAAAUAAGUUACGCGCAAUGUUGGAAAGUCUUAAGUGCUAUUUAACAAGUGGGGAGGGGUGGCUCAUGCCAGCGCAUGCAGAAGGUGAGGUGUCAUUUUGGAAAGCGCAGUAACAGAGGGCUUCGCAGAGCAGGUGACAUUUGACAGACUCAAAGGAGCAGAGCUGGGAGCUACCUGGGGAAGGAGCUCGAGGACAGGAGACAGCCUGGAGGCGCGAGGGUCCCACUGUAUAGUUCAGGAUGGCCUCAAACUCAUGGAGACCCUGCUUCCAAGAGCUGGAAUUAGAGGCAUGCACCGCCACCCUCGAAGCACUGACCUCUGGACAGACCCUCACAACUUCUAACUGUGUGUGAAAACAGCUGUCUGGUUGUCUCCAGGCCUUCAGAUUUCAGUUCCUCUGCACAUAACCCAGCUAAAUGUGGCCGCCUCAUGGAGACAGGAUCCAUGAAUGUGAAAGAGAAGCCAAUAAAAAACACCCUUAGAGUAAUAGCAACCGAUGUUGAAGACCUACUAUGUGCUCGACACACGGCUGCAAAGCUCAUGAGGCUUCACACACCCUACCCUGAUCGGCCCUCACACUGAGCCGCCAGUUCUACUCAUCC